UACGUAGGGGGCUAGCGUUGUCCGGAAUCAUUGGGCGUAAAGCGCGCGUAGGCGGCCCGGUAAGUCCGCUCUGAAAGUCCAGGGCUCAACCCUGGAAAGCGGGUGGAUACUGCCGGGCUAGAAUCCGGAAGAGGCGAGUGGAAUUCCUGGUGUAGCGGUGGAAUGCGCAGAUAUCUGGAGGAACACCGGUGGCGAAGGCGGCAUCCUGGACCGAUACUGACGCUGAGGAGCGAAAGCCAGGGGAGCAAACGGG
rnacentral:rRNA from 1 species